rnacentral:tRNA from 1 species
GCCGGGAUAGCUCAGUUGGUUAGAGCGAGGGACUCAUAAGCCCUAGGUCGUCAGUUCGAUUCUGACUCCCGGCA